rnacentral:rRNA from 1 species
CCUACGGGAGGCUGCAGUCGGGAAUAUUGCGCAAUGGAGGAAACUCUGACGCAGUGACGCCGCGUAUAGGAAGAAGGCUUUCGGAUUGUAAACUAUUGUCGGUAGGGAAGAUAAAAGACUGUACCUAAGGAGGAAGCCCCGGCUAACUAUGUGCAAGCAGCCGCGGUAAUACAUAGGGGGCAAGCGUUAUCCGGAAUUAUGGGGUGUAAAGGGGGCGUAGACGGAAGAACAAGUUGGUUGUGAAAUCCCUGGGCUCAACUGAGGAACUGCAACCAAAACUAUUCUCCUUGAGUGGAGGUGAGGGAAGUGGAAUGCCUGGUGUAGCGGUGAAAUGCGUAGAUAUUAGGCAGAACACCGGUGGCGAAGGCGGCUUUCCGGACGAUAACUGACGUUGAGGCACGAAAGUGUGGGGAGCGAACAGGAUUAGAUACCCUUGUAGUC